GGGGAUGUAGCUCAGUGGGAGAGCACCGCAUUUGCACUGCGGGGGUCGCGGGUUCAAAUCCCGCCAUCUCCA
rnacentral:tRNA from 1 species